UUUCGCAAUGCCCGAAAGGGUGACGAAGCGACGCCGCGUGUGGGAAGAAGGCCUUCGGGUUGUAAACCACUGUCGGGAGUUAAGAAAUGUAAGGGUGUUAACAGCAUCCUUACUUGACUAAGGCUCCGGAGGAAGCCACGGCUAACUCUGUGCCAGCAGCCGCGGUAAUACAGAGGCGGCAAGCGUUGUUCGGAAUUAUUGGGCGUAAAGAGCACGUAGGCGGCCUUGCAAGUCAGUUGUGAAAUCCUUCUGCUUAACGGAAGAACAGCAGCUGAUACUACAGGGCUUGAGUGCGGGAGGGGAGAGUGGAACUUCUGGUGGAGCGGUGAAAUGCGUAGAUAUCAGAAGGAACGCCGGCGGCGAAAGCGGCUCUCUGGCCCGUAACUGACGCUGAGUGUGCGAAAGCUAGGGGAGCAAACGGGAUUAGAUACCCCGGUAGUCCUAGCCGUAAACGAUGGGCACUAAGUAGAGGGGUUUUA
rnacentral:rRNA from 1 species